rnacentral:lncRNA from 1 species
UCAUUUCAAAUCAUUCAACCUUUUUAAUAAAAAUCAUCUUCUUUAAACUUGUUGAACCAUUUCUGAUUGUUGGUAUGUGAUUUCCUUCAAUCUAACUUGGUUUAAUCUAGUUUGUCAUAUCUAGAGGCGACCAUUAUAGGGUAGUAUCAAGAGACUUUCCGCACCUCUUGCGUCACCUUUCGAUCCACAUCCCUUGAUCGUUUGUUGCUUUCUAGCUCAUUCGGUGCAAGGUUUAUCCAUUACCAAUUUCAGAGUGUCGAUCUUUGGGAGGAUCUCAUCAAGUGGUAUCAGAGCACAUUCUGAAACUUGGAGAAUCAUGUCUGAGCUCGAAGAAAAGACUAGCAACAAUCAAAACAUCGAGUUGCUGAUUGAAUCUGUCAUGGCCAUAAUGGAGAAGAAGUUGGACUCUAGACUUGUUUCCUUACGCCAGAAGAUGCAUCAAUCCAGGAAUCAGAGAAAGAACCAGAUGCAUCAACUAAGGAAUCAAAGGAAGAAGGCAUAGCAACAACCACAUUCGAAAGCAAUUGAGAAAAAAAUUUCAGCCAGAACUGAAAAGAAGGCUUGGAGAGAUGGCUGCAGUCUUUCACGGGCUAUCCAUCAAAGGAUCACAUCCCCAUUUCCAUCCACAGUCGCUUCCAAUCUAGAAAUCAAAGACACUGAACCAAAACCGACUGUUUUUGAUCAAAGAGACUCUAUGGACGACCAGCUGCAUCAAGAAGAUGAACAACAUGCUGUAAGUGUUAUCUUGCCAAUCCAAAACGUGGUUGAAGAAUCAGAAUUCAUUGGACCAGAAGCACCCGAAGAAAAAGAGCAUACAAUGGCUGACAUGUCAUGUGAAAUUCACGGUUCAAUUUCAUGCUAUGAAUUGAUCCAGCCACUGGUUUGCAAUGAGAACAGUCCAGUAGAGCAACUGAGGUGUGAAGAUGGACUGCAACAGUUUGUCUUUGUGCGAGGAGAAAAAAUAUGUGUACACAAAGGAAAUGACAACACCUUGGUCAAACCUACAACAACAAUGAAGCUGCACAAGGUCGUUUCUAUAAUCUUAGAAGGUUUGGAUUUUAGGACAAAUCCUUUUUAAGAGGGAGAGUAUGAUAUGAUCCUGACCAGCAUCAAAGUCCAAGGUAUGAAAGCGAGGCAUGAACCAGCUAAGCCAUUGAUCAUGGUUUGGUUUAAUGGGCAUUUUCAAGGCCUAAUUAGACUGAUCUAUGAAGUUUUGGAUCAAGAGAAGCUACUAGAUUUGGGGCAGAACGUGGAAGUCUUAAAUGAGGUUUGGGCUUAUGUUUAGGCUAGGAAGAAGGCCCAAGAAGUUAGAAAUCAAUGCCAGCUCAAUUUUAUGAAGUUACAAGUCCAUUAAGAGCCCAAACAAGAGGUUUCUUGCAUGCAAAGAAGAUGGACGAAAAUCAGAUAUUGGAUUGCAUGGGAAGCUUCUCUCUCUUGCAUGCAAAUAAGCAUUUAAAGUCUUUUAUGUUUUCUAAGUAUUUCUACCAUUCCCCAAGCUGUUCAUGAAAGUGUUUUUAUUUUCCCUGGUAUUAUUUAUACAUUUCCCUAUGCUAGUCAUGCAUAACUUGUUGUUUUCUAUUUAAACUCUUGUAUGUUUCAUUUUAAAUCAUUCAACAUUUUUAAUAAAAAUCAUCUUCUUUAAACUUGUUGAAUCAUUUCUGAUUGUUGGUAUGUGAUUUCCUUCAAUCUAGCUUGAUUUAAUCUAGUGUGUCAUAUCUAGAGGCGACCAUUAUAGGGUAGUAUCAAAAGACUUUCCCCACCUCUUGUGUCACCUUUCGAUCCACAUCCCUUGAUCGUUUGUUGCUUUCUAGCUCAUUCGGUGCAAGAUUUAUCCAUUACCAAUUUCAGAGUGUCGAUCUUUCGGAGGAUCUCAUU